ACACGACUACAUUAGAUACCCGCGUGUCCUAGCCGUAAACGAUACUCGCUAGGUGUCGGCCACGGUGCGACCGUUGUCGGUGCCGUAGGGAAGCCGUGAAGCGAGCCACCUGGGAAGUACGGCCGCAAGGCUGAAACUUAAGGAAUUGGCGGGGAGCACCACAAUGGGUGGAGCUUGCGGUUUAAUUGGAUUCAACGCCGGAAAUCUUACCGGGACCGACAGCAACAUGAAGGCCAGGCUGAAGACUUUGCCGGAUUAGCUG
rnacentral:rRNA from 1 species